rnacentral:misc_RNA from 1 species
AAAAAAGGAAAAAAAAAAAGAACUUUUGUUUUUCCGAGGGAUCAUUAGUUCAAAGUUACUCUGGUGUUGGGUUGCUAUCUUUUAAGAUAGAUCUGUCAACAUCUUGUCAAGCAUAUGUAUAAUGAUCUAAUUAUGCUUAUUGGUACUGAAUUUUUGGUAUUAUUAUCUAAUAUUGAUGACAGUGCCGAUGGAAAUAUAAAGAAACCUUAAUUUUUGGUGCAAUUAUCAUAUAUGGAUAUUGUACUAAUGUUGAUUGUAAUUUGCCAAUUACUCAUUACUUCAUGUUUUUACCAUUUUCAGGUUAUAAUCAGAAAGCAAAGGA